ACGGGUAAUUGGAAUGAACUACAAGCAUUUUCACUGAGCUCAAAGAAACUGCAAGAAAAAAGAUCUUCGAUCUGCAUCCAAGUAUUUUUUUUUGUCUGAAAGAACACUGUGUGAGGAAUUUUGACAUUCUCUGCAUUCUAAUGAAAAUGACUUGGAAAGUAGAGGCUUAUCUAUACAUUUGCCUCAUUGCCGCCACGAUGAGCACCGUUUAUCAGGAAUAAAGAGAGAAGAUCCAGAAGGGUGACAGUGAUCCAGGAUGAAGGUCCUUUGACUAUACAUUUCAGCGUUCAAUUGAGGGAGCUGAUGACCAAGGCUGAAUUCCAAGGUAGCAGAGUUCCAGCUGAGGACUGGCCAGCGGUAACCUGGACCCCAG
rnacentral:lncRNA from 1 species